AUUGAACGCUGGCGGCAGGCCUAACACAUGCAAGUCGAGCGGCAGCGGAAAGUAGCCCGCUACUUUGCCGGCGAGCGGCGGACGGGUGAGUGAUGUCUGGGAAACUGCCCGAUGGAGGGGGGGAACAACUGGAAGCGGUAGCUAAUACAGCAUAACGUCGCAAGACCAAAGAGGGGGACCUCCUGGGCUCUUGCCAUCAGAUAUGCCCAGAUGGGAUUAGCUAGUAGGGGGGGUAACGGCGCACCUAGGCGACGAUCCCUAGCUGGUCUGAGAGGAUGAUCAGCCACACUGGAACUGAGACACGGUCCAGACUCCUACGGGAGGCAGCAGUGGGGAAUAUUGCACAAUGGGCGCAAGCCUGAUGCAGCCAUGCCGCGUGUAUGAAGAAGGCCUUCGGGUUGUAAAGUACUUUCAGCGGGGAGGAAGGUGUUGAGGUUAAUAACCUCAGCAAUUGACGUUACCCGCAGAAGAAGCACCGGCUAACUCCGUG
rnacentral:rRNA from 1 species